UGCAAGCACAUACAUUCUACCUGUGUUGCAAACACACAACCCUUGUCUGUUACAAGGAAAGACCACCUCCAUAAGGGGAGAUAAUGAAGAAGGAAGUGAGAGAAGAGGCCAGCCCCACCAGCAAGUAUGAACCGAGCCUGGAGAAGAUCUUGCUUCUGGCCUUUUGAGUCCACUUAAGACAAGGAACUCUGGACUGUCACAUGGAUCAGAAACUUCCCUGAGACUUGCUGAUGCCAAUAAAGGAUGGACACACAUCUUCACUGAACAACUGACUGGAGUCUUGGCUUCACUAGAGAUGACAGGAUUACCUGCUUCUGAAUAACUUGUUUUCUAUAGGCCAGCAUCUAACUUAACUGCCUUUGCAUCUUGGUGCCAGAGCAGAGGAAUGAAGAUGAAGGCUGGGAGGAGCAAGCUGCCCAGAGAACAUGAGACAGGCAGGAGCUGAGCUGGUGAGAUGGCCAGGCUGAUGUGAAAGCAGGAUGCUUCAACUUUCUAGAUGACUGAAGAUUUUCAACCAUGCUCAUUGCUUCGACCUCAUACAACUUUUGUGAAAUAAUAAUCCAGGCCAGAUAACAGGGUGUACCCGGUGUGUGUUGAAAGUCAUGCUAAGCAGCCUGAUGGACUUCCUAGUGGUUUUAAGCAAAGAGUAACUGGCUCCUAAGCUACUUUUCCCAUAUGGGAGAAGAAUAAAGUCACCACCUUGUGCUAUUCUGUUUGAUUGCAACUAUGUUUUGUUCUGAGUCAUUUCAGAAAUGUCUGGAUAGGAGAUGCCAAAGCAGGAGGGUCCACUUGGCUCUCACAGGAAACCUCUGCCUCCUAUCUGUAGAAGGAAUAAUUUGAGCUCCCACGUCCAACUUCAGUUGUCCUACUUGAACUGGCAUCUGUGGAAUGAUGGGACUUCGUUGCUGCCUUCACAAUCUCACCUGUGAUAAAGAAUAUUUGAGGGUAUAUGGAAUUCUAAUGUCAGGAUACAGAUAUGUAUGUUAAUUUUGAGGUUGAAAACACUAUCAGAGGGGGCUGGAGAGAUGGUUUAGUGGUUAAGAGCACUGACUGCUCUUCCAGGGGUCCUGACUUCAAUUCCCAGCAACCACAUGGUGGCUCACA
rnacentral:lncRNA from 1 species